rnacentral:rRNA from 1 species
GCCCUUUUCCGGUUGAUCCUGCCGGAAGCCACUGCUAUCGGGGUUCGAUUAGCCAUGCGAGUCGAGAGGUGCAAGACCUCGGCGCACUGCUCAGUAACACGUGGAUAACCUACCCUCAGGAGGGGGAUAACCCCGGGAAACUGGGGAUAAUACCCCAUAGGCCAGGGACGCUGGAAUGCCUCCUGGUCGAAAGGUCCGCCGCCUGAGGAUGGGUCUGCGGCCGAUUAGGUUGUUGUUGGGGUAACGGCCCAACAAGCCUUUGAUCGGUACGGGUUGUGAGAGCAAGAGCCCGGAGAUGGAUUCUGAGACACAAAUCCAGGCCCUACGGGGCGCAGCAGGCGCGAAAACUUUACAAUGCGAGAAAUCGUGAUAAGGGAACCCCGAGUGCCCGUAAAUUCGGGCUGUCCAUCAGUGUAAAAAACUGGUGAAGAAAGGGCCGGGCAAGACCGGUGCCAGCCGCCGCGGUAAUACCGGCGGCUCGAGUGGUGGCCACUAUUACUGGGCUUAAAGCGUCCGUAGCUGGAUUGUUAAGUUUCUUGGGAAAUCCGCCGGCUUAACCGGCGGGCGUUCAGGAGAAACUGGCAAUCUAGGGACCGGGAGAGGUGAGAGGUACUCUAGGGGUAGGAGUGAAAUCCUGUAAUCCUUGGGGGACCACCUGUGGCGAAGGCGUCUCACUAGAACGGCUCCGACAGUGAGGGACGAAAGCUGGGGGAGCAAACCGGGUUAGAUACCCGGGUAGUCCCAGCUGUAAACGAUGCGCGUUAGGUGUAUCGGUGACCACGAGUCAUCGAGGUGCCGAAGGGAAAACCGUGAAACGUGCCGCCUGGGG